rnacentral:lncRNA from 1 species
AUGAAUGAAAACAUUGGGUUUUUUUUUUUUCCCUUCCUUUCUCUCCUCUCUCUCUUCCCCAGAGGAAGGCAGAUCUUAGCCCGGCGCUGCCUCGGGAGGGCAGAUUACCUGGCGCUUAAAGCGGCAGCCGAGCGGCCGCUCAGCCCCGCGGUUUCCCCGCGCUGCGGCUCGGCACCCCCCGCCUCAGCCCCUCCCGCCCUCACCUGCGAGGAGCGUUUGGGGGGUGUUUUUGACGUUCUGCUCGUUCGCAGCCGGCUACGGUCCCCACUAAGCCUUCCCGCAGCAUCCCGGUGCCUCCAUUCCGGGAGGGGGACGGUGGGAGGGUGGUCGGGGCCGCCCCUCAUCGGGCGGGCGCCGCAGCGCCCCGCGGCACCUGCUCGCUGCGGCAGCGCUGGCCCCGCGAGUGAGUGCACGGCGGGUCCCAACUUACGGGUGUGCAGGGAGCCACCGGGAACGGCAAAUCCAGCGGGCGGGGGGCGGCGGGGCCUCGGCUCCUCGCUCUCCCGGCCCCCGGGGCGGGGAAGGCCGGCGGGCUGCGCUCCUCGUCCCCGCGCAGCCCUCGCUCGCCGAUCUCCACGUCCUCCUAGGCCAGCGCAGAAGAGCCCCGCUCUCCUGCCCACCGCAGCUCCCCUCUCCCGGGGGUCAGCAUGCAGCGGCCCCGGCCGCCCGUGGAAGCGGCGCUCUCCUUCGGCCGCAGCUCUCUCGGUCCGGAGGCGACGGGAAGCAAAUCCAGCCCUUCCUGCAAAGCGGAGUAUCUGGAUCGAGCCUCAGGCGGCUGCAGGCUGCGGCAGGCAGCGGGGCUGUUGCGAUGCAGGUCUCUGUGAAGAGGCGGCGGGUGCGCGGCUCCUGUUCCGGUUGUUUGUUAUUUCCCUUUGCGAUAGCAGACUGCAGGGCUGCGGUCCCGCUCCGGCGCUCGGCUUCACCGCAUGGUCCUUGCCGCAAGUCCCGUCUGGCAAAGUGCUACCACAACCUCUGACUAUUGCAGAGGCAGCUGAGGACCCAAGAAAAGCACUCCCUCGUGCCAUCCUGCCAUGA